AUUGAACGCUGGCGGCAGGCCUAACACAUGCAAGUCGAACGAGUGGCGGACGGGUGAGGAAUGUCUGGGAAACUGCCCGAUGGCGGGGGAUAACUAGUGGAAACGGUAGCUAAUACCGCAUACCAUCGGAUGUGCCCAGAUGGGAUUAGCUUGUAGGUGAGGUAACGGCUCACCUAGGCGACGAUCCCUAGCUGGUCUGAGAGGAUGACCAGCCACACUGGAACUGAGACACGGGCCAGACUCCUACGGGAGUCAGCAGUGGGGAAUCUUGCACAAUGGGCGCAAGCCUGAGGGAGCCAUGCCGCGUGUAUGAAGAAGGCUUUCGGGUCGUAAAGUACUUUCAGCGGGGAGGCGUUACCCGAAGAAGAAGCAACGGCUAACUCCGUGCCAGCAGCCGCGGUAAUUC
rnacentral:rRNA from 1 species